AAGGAUCUACCAUUGGACAACUGACACUUACUUGAAAUGCUGUCCUGGAUGGCAAAGAAAAGGAUAUAGCCAUAGCUGCACAAAAGCAAUCUGCAAUAAAGGCUGCAACAACCAUGGAACUUGCUCCCGUCCGAACUAUUGCAAUUGUACUCGUUUUUGGACAGGGCCUAGUUGUAGUACAGCUGUAAACGAAUGCUCCACAAACAAUGGAGGGUGUGCGCAGGGAUGUUACUUUAGAAGAGGUGCAGCGAGACUAUGCUAUUGCCGCCAGGGGUACAGUAU